GUCCCUGGCAUGAGCUACCCAUCACUGUCUUAUGCUCAGUGACCCAGGACCACCUAUGAGCAUCUGGGCCCAAGAGAUGAUCUCAAACUUUUCACAAUUAUUUCAGGUAUCAACAAGAUGGAAAUAAAGCCAAAAGCUGUGCUGAGAUUCAACCAUCAACAUCCCAAAAGGAAUAUUCUGUUUCCCAGCAUUUCUUGCCAAGGAUGAUCUCAGAUUCGUCUGUUUCCAUUCACUAUAAGAAAAAUAUUCUGAGCACCUGCUAUGCGCCAAGCGUUGUGCUAUGUAGUGGGGGCACAACUGCAGGGAAACCAGACAUGGUCCCUCCCUGCCUCCUGGCAUUUAGAGCCAAGACAGAGGGUCAGAUUAUAAAUGAACACAGGCACCAUGAUUAUUUCAUCUCAAACUCUGGUUGGUGCUAUGGGAAAGGAGCAGUGAUCUUUGAGACCUGAGAGGGGGUCCUGAUGGAGCAGACACCAGCAGAAGGAUCCUUCCGGGAAGUGACGUUGAAGCUAAGCUUGAAAAGAAAGAAGCCAGUGGACAUCUUCUGGUGAGACCCAGAGCACCCCACCUGCAAGGGGCCUGAUCUCCCUUGAACCAAGAGCCCUGCCACUCGCCCCAGCUGCCUAAAGGCUGACAGGAGAAGAGGGAGUCAGAAUGGUGCUCCAAACAGAGCUCACUGGAAUCUCAGCUCAGCCAUUUACUUGCUCUGUCAACUUGGGCUCUCGCUGCAGGUACCUGAGACUGUUUUCUCGCCUGUAAAAUUGGAAGGUGUUAUGGGUUGAAUUGCUUCCCCCAAAAAUAUGUUGAGGUCUUAACCCCUUGAAAUGUGACCUGAGUUGGAAAUGGGAUCUUUGCAGAUGUCAUUAGUGAAGACGAAGUCACACUGGAGUAGGCUGGGCCCUAAAUCAAAUGGCUGUUAGUUUUAUAAGAAGAGGGAAAUUUGGACACAGACACACACAAAGAGGAACAACCAGCGUGUGAAGACAGAGGCAGAGAUUGGAAUGAGGCAGCCACAAGCCAAUGAACCGCUGCAGCUCCCAGAGGCCAGAAGAGGCAAGGGAAUAUCCUCCCCUAGAGGCUGCAGAGGGAGCACAGCCCUGCCAGUGCCUUGAUUCGAGACUUCGAGACUUCCAGCCUCCAGAACUGGGAAAGAAUAAAUAUCUGCUGUUUUAAGCACUUUGGUUUGUGGUGCUUUGUCACUGGCAGCCCUGGGAGUAGUCCAGAAUUAUAACCCCUACCUUCCCCGAGGACUGCUUGUCCAGAGGGUUCCCCAGGGUCCCAUUCUUAACAGAUCCUCCUUGAAUGCCCUGCAGCCACCGCUGAUGUGCUGGAAGUCACUUCUGCUGGCUUUGAUGAAGGGAAGGAAGCAGAUGAGAAAGAGGGUGUAUAUGAGUGACUCAUUGAACCUAUUGUCUAUCCAUAGAGAGAGGGGACGAGAGAGUGCCUUGUCCCCAAGACCUGGGCCCACAGUGGCCCCUUAAGUAAGUUCAGGCCCUCUCACCUGGGCAGGGGUCAGAAGCCUAGAGCAACAGCAACCACUGAAAGCCCUCAGCACUCCACUUAGGCCUCCACUCCAGAGCCUCAGAGCUGCCAGCUUCUUCUCCCUGAUACCCCUGCAGAAACUCAGCCACCUUCUAUUUAGAAGGAUCAGCCAUCAGAUGCUUCUAAAUAAAUCCAAUCCCUCCACCCUCCUGCUUUCCACUUGCAACUGUCUCUGUCCACUGGCACUUGGACCCAAGAGCUAAUUGCAGAAGCUUCAUCUUAAAGGAAACCACAAACACGCUCUCACCCACGUUUUACGACUUUAUAACUCACCAAAUAAACCUGAUUCCUAUAACCAUAAAACAAAGCCGAAAUGAGUUGGACAUGUACCAGCGAGGAGAAGCAGGAGGCGGGUGGAGAUUGCCAGAGGGGGCUCUCAGCUGUGGAGUCGCGGCUCUCCGUGUGGAUUUCGGCAUCUCAGUCUUGCAGAAACUUAAUAUUCCAAUCAGCACCCAAGCAAGGCGUUGGAAGCCAAGGAGUGCAUGAGUGCCCCCAUAGCUGGGGGAAUAUUACUCACCAGGUCAUGGUCGGCUGCGUAAAAUACAACCCUCAUAUAUCAUUAUAACUGCCAGCCAACGACAGUUAUAAUUGAGACGGCAAUAACUAGGAGAGAGUUCUUUAAUUUAACAUCCAAUUAUUACAAGUUAUCACUUCUUAAUAAAUGUAAUAUAACAGACAA
ensembl:lncRNA LINC02554 long intergenic non-protein coding RNA 2554